UGAAACACGGACCAAGGAGUCUAACAUAUGCGCGAGCUAAUGGGUGGAAAACCGAUAGGCGCAAUAAAAGUAAAUGCUGUUUCGGACAGCUAAGGUACGAUCCUAAAGUCGCGAGGCUUCAGGCGCAGUACCGUCCCGUCCCGACCGCACGUCGGUAGGGCGGAGAUAGAGUGCAUACGUUGGGACCCGAAAGAUGGUGAACUAUGCCUGAGCAGAGCGAAGCCAGAGGAAACUCUGGUGGAGGUUCGUAGCGGUUCUGACGUGCAAAUCGAUCGUCAGACUUGGGUAUAGGGGCGAAAGACUAAUCGAACCAUCUAGUAGCUGGUUCCCCCUGAAGUUUCCCUCAGGAUAGCUGAUACUCGGGAAACGACGAAGUUUUAUCCGGUAAAGCGAAUGAUUAGAGGCAUUGGGGACGAAAUGACCUCAACCUAUUAUCAAACUUUAAAUGGGUAAGAAGUCGAGCUUGCUCGACCGAAGCCCGGCAAAAGAAUUCGAGUAUCAAGUGGGCCAUUUUUGGUAAGCA
rnacentral:rRNA from 1 species